CACAAUCAUCUUCAUCUUAAAUGAUAUCCAACAAUCCCUAGGCAUCUAGGCGGUUCUGAAUAUCUUUAGUCAAUUCCAAAUAGUUCUUGUUGACGGCGUCCAAGAUAAGGAAAUCAAUUUUGAUCGACAUUUUCCUACAACGAUAGGAAAAAUAAUGGAUUAGUUAUCAUAUAAAAUGACAUGUUUAUAUGUUUAUGGUUUGCAUUAGCACAAAUUGUGUUUCGAAAUGACAUACUCGAGAAGCACACAAUUUGCUAAACUUUGUUUUCGAAACGCUAGGUUCGAGAAACACAAGAUUUACUAUAGCGAACUUUGUUUUUGGAAACGACAGGUUGGAGAAACACAAGUGUGAAAAAAAUCUCAUUGAUCGAACAAUGGGUCGAUUCAAGCAUAUAAUCUAAAUUUGUUGUCAAUCACAUUGAUGUAUUUAUAGAUGAUCCAUAAUUUCUUCACAUAAACGUGACAUGUAUUUGGUAGAUGACAAAACUCAUGUUUGAGAAGAAAAAGUCGUUGAAAUUCUACAAAUAUUAAGAGUUAUAAACAACUUUUAGGAAUUUUAAAGGUCAAAAAAACCAUUUAUGCCACAUAAAUAAGUAACUACAUGCUCAUAAAAACAUAUAUNNNNNNNNNNNNNNNNNNNNNNNNNNNNNNNNNNNNNNNNNNNNNNNNNNNNNNNNNNNNNNNNNNNUAUACAAUGUCCUUAAUACUAAUCAUACAUACUUAUAAAGUUAGCAUUUUUUCUUGAAUCUCAUGCAUUUGAAACCCCCAUAAAAAUAUGUCAACACCACAUGCAUUUGAAACCCCCACACCUUUUCACCUUCAAAGUAAUUAAUCACACAUAAUCUCAUUCAUUUCAAACCUAUAAGUUCAACACCUCAUGCAUUUCAAACCCCCACACCUUUUCACCUUCAUUAUAUAUGUAGUUAUAUUAGUACAUUUUUCUUACAAAAAGUCGUUAUUUGGUUGAAGAUAUUAUGAUUCAAAAGUUUUCAUAUAGUUGAAGCAUUCACGAUCCAAAUAUGAUGAUUUAAAGAAAUGGGUUAUGUCGCAUCGAUGGUAACUGUAAUUUGAUUUUUUCUUUCAAGCAAAACAAAUGAAACUUUUCUAUUCUUUAUUUAUAUUCAAUUUUUCAUUUGACCUUUAUAUGAUUUGUAUGUAUAACUCAAUCUUGAAUGUGACUCUCCAAACAUCAAUGUUUUGCUUGGAAUAUCUUUCUCAUUCUUAUCUUUCAAGAAAAACAUUUUGAUUGCAGGUUAGUGAAGAAUUGUCAUCAAGUUUCCAUGGUUGAGUGGUGUUCAAUAAAGAAAGAAGAUUCAGAAAACGGAUAUAGUUUUUUUUUUGUUUGAGCAAAGUAGACGAAUGUUAGUUUUUUCUUUUGAUUUAAAUGUAUAUUUAUGUAACAUUUUUAUUUAUAUAUUCAACCACCCAAUGUUCUUAUUUAUUUGAUUGUAGUUUUUCUAUUUUGAUUAUGUUUAUUUUAUAUUAUUUUUUGUUGGGUUAUCCUACACAACAUAUUUACAAGACAAUAUUUAAAAGAUAACAUAAUUUUUAACAUUUGAUAUGUAAUUAUGAUGACUAAUCAUGAUAUGUUAUUCAUAUGAAAUUAAUUUAUCCAUAUUACUACGACAAAAAUUACAUAUGACAUUUACAAAAAUAUAUAUUAUAUGUGAUUUGUUUAACAUAUAUAUAUGCACCUAUGUAUGUUAUAAAUUUAUAAUUAAAUAUAUUUAUGUUUAAUAAUUGAAGGGAUUAAAAUGAUGCAUCAAAACCAAUUAUUUAGACGAAUAUAAUAAUAAUAAUAAUAAUAAUAAUAAUAAUAAUAAUAAUAAUAAUAAUAAUAANAGACAAUAUUUAAAAGAUAACAUAAUUUUGAACAUUUGAUAUGUAAUUAUGAUAGACUUAUCAUGAUAUAUUCUUCAUAUGAAAGUAAUUUAUCCAUAUUACUACCACAAGAAUUACAUAUGACAUUUAUGAAAAUAGAUAUAUUUUAUGUGAUUUGUUUAACAUGUAUAUGCACUUAUGUAUGUUAUAAAUUUAUAAUUAAAUAUCUUUAUGUUUAAUAAUUGAAGGGAUUAAAAUGAUGCAUCAAAACUAAUUAUUUAGAAGAAUACAACAACAACAACAACAACAACAGCAACAACAACAGCAACAGCAGCAGCAACAGCAUCAACAACAACAACAACAACAACAACAACAACAACAACAACACAUUUUCAAGUACCGUAUUCAUUUGAAACUCACACUACAACUCAAGAGUUUUCUAAUUUAUGUAUAUUUAUUAGUUACAACUCAAAAGUUUUUAACUUAUGAUUAUUAAUUAGUAAUCACUAAUAACUUUUUAUUUUCCUUUCUUUUAUAAGGUUGUAAAGUUUUGCUCAUUAAAAACAUUAAUGUAUUUGACGAGAUUUGUGAUUUAAAUAUGAAAAGUUAAUAUAAAUGUUAUAAUAAAUGUUUUAGUGUUGUUAUUAAAAGUUGUAGUGUUCAUUUUUAAAUAUUUUUUUAUUAUUCGUUGUAUAUAUAUCUUUUUUAAUACAAUGCUAUAAUAGAUGUUUUUGUAUUUUUAUGUUACUAAAAGUUGUAGCUCAUAUUUUUGUUCAUACAUUUUGUUACCCGCUAUAUAUAGAUUAUCAUACGUUUGAUAUAUAAUUUACACAAUUUUAAACGGUUUAUAAAAUUAUCAAAUAAUUGUAUAUAUCACAAUGACUUAAAACUUAAAACUAUAAUCAUCAUACUAUAUUAUAAAAGAAAUAUUUUUUCGUUCACAACAUUCAUUUGAAACUCCCAACAUUUCAUAUUUCCAUACAAUGUACUUAAUUUAUUAACUUAAAUAUGCUUUUAGUUGUAAACAUUAUCAUAAAUGGAAGAAUUUGUGACUUAUCAAAAUGAUAUACUUAAUUUGUUAACUUCAAUGUAUAGUUAAAUAAAUAACCUACAUUAAUAUAUCAAAUAAGCUUAAAAAUUUAGUGUAAAAUUUAAAACUUAAAGUAAAAUAUCAAAUAAUGUUUAAAAAAAAUCAAUAUAUAUUUUUUAACAUAGUUAAAAGGAAAACAUUAAAUAUAAUAAUAAUAAAAGAACCUAAAUUGAUGAUUGAAUUAACUAAAAGGUGUCUGAAAACAAUAUUCUAACAAUAUAUUUUUAACAUGCGCCGCGCAACGCGCGAGAAUUCGUCUAAUGUUAGUAAUAAUCAUAGCAAAAUAUGAUGGAUAUGAACUAUGGAGGAUAUUUGUGACAUAUGGUCUUUUAACAAAAGAAAUGAUAAGUUUUCAAGACUACAAUGAUCAUUAUUGUAAUUUAUGUGUCCAUCAUAAAAAAAAAAUUGUCGUUGUAGGAAAUAUAAAUCCAGAGAGGUCUCAUAUUCCGAUUAUGUGACACUAAAAACAUCUACAAAAAAAGUUCAAUGUGCAAAUUCGAGUAGAUCAAAAUAAACAAUACCCAACAAAUUCUUUUAUCUCACUUUUGAUCUAGGAAAAUUUUUCAUUUUUCCCAAAGUAAUACCAAAUGGAAAAAAGUAGACAAAGUCGAGGAGUAUUAAGAAAGCCUUACUUCAUAAUUAGAGAAAAUAAAACGACAAACAUAAAGUAUAAUGCUUCCAACUUCGAGCAAAGUGCUAAUAUCGUGUUGUAAGACAAAUUAGCUCACGUUAAUGAUCAUGCAAAGAUUCAUCAGACAAUGUGAAUGUGUGAUACAAAAAUACAUGAAAACUCUUUAUAUAAUCCUCUAUAUAAGACAAUGGAUGAUUGAAUCAAAGAUAGUAAACUCUAAAUAUAAAUGCACUUAUGAACUAUAUGAACUACGUAAGUAUGAUCAAUUACUAGUAACAUAAUGAGUCAGAACAAAUGUAAAAUAAAAUUGUCGUUAGACCAUUUAUUUUAUUUAUAAAUAGAAUAUACUAACAAAAAUAAAGUAAGAUCAAAGGUUGAUUAUGGAUCUUGAGCCAAUAUUACGAGGCCACGAGGGUGUUAACCCUAGGGACAAAAUUGUCUUUUAGAUGCUAGUUAGGGUUUUGCUUCUCUUUAAGCACACACCUAUAUAAAGCGAAAAAUAGCACCAUGACCCCCCUCUCACGAAUUAUACAUACCGCCGCUGAUUGUGAUUUCAACGAAGAAGCACCGGAAAAUGGGAGUUUUCACAUUCGUCUGCAAAUCCUCCGGCGGCAAAUGGACUGCCAAGCAGCUAAAGGGAGACCUUGAAGGCUCCGCCGACUCUACCUACGCUCUUCAGAGGUCUCUUGUUCAGGCCGCUUAUUCUUGCGACUCUUCCGGUGGUAUCCAGUCUUCUUUCAGCUACGUACUCCCCGAUUCUGCUGUUUUUCAGGUAUAAUUACGCUUUGAUCUGUUCAUAUCUGUUUGUCUCUAUUUCGACUUUGAAUGUCGCUGUGGGUUGAUUGAUGGUAAAUCGUUGAUUAGUCCUUAAUCAUGGUGAAUUUGCUUUGUACAUUUGAUUUAAAUGUUAGAAGUAAACAUAUCUAUUAUCUUUGUGUAUCUUAUUUCGCUAGAUCUAACUCUGACAUAGUAGACGACAAUCACUGUGCACAAUUUAUUAUGCAUUUUGAUUUAAUCCGAGUGAUUACUGUUGCAGCUAUUCGUAGUUCUUGUCUGAUUUUGGUAAACAAGUUUGAACAUGAAAUCAAAAUAUUUGAGCAUGUGUAAUUCUGUUUACAUUUUUUCCUUGAUUUUUUGGUUUUAAAUAUCAGAUUUUUUUAAAAAAAGUUCUAACCAAAACUGAUAAAUUGAAUAAUCAUCAAACCUGAAACUUAGAGUAAGUAGUAGUAGCCCAUUUAUUUUGUGAGGUUAAAAAUGCAAUAUACUUUAUUAUCGGCUUUCUGCUUUUAUUUCUUUCUUGUUACAAGAUUGUACUUUGAAAAAUCUAUUUACUAAUAGCAAUGUAGAAAGCAAUAAUUAAUGCUGAAAUGGGUGGAUUUAAUAAAUAUCCAGUCCUCUAAAACGGAAACAUUUGAAAUUAUAAUGAUAUAAAUCUAUAAUUGAGAUCAUUUAAAAGUAAGAUGCUGGAAUGAAAAAAUAAACAAAAGUAAAUUGCUAGUUUUUGGAUUUAGUCUUUUUUCAAACACCAAAAAUCUGUUCUACAUAUAAUAUUUGGAGCCUCUUCUGUGCAGGUGAUCAUUGGUGGUGGUGGUGGUGGUGGCUCUUUUGGUGGUGGUGCUGCAGCAGCAUCAUCAGCACCAGCUGGAGGUGCAGCAGCUGCUGAAGCACCUGCUGCUGAGGAGAAGAAGGAAGAGAAGGAGGAGAGUGAUGAUGACAUGGGUUUCUCACUCUUUGAUUAAUUCUUCUAUUUCUUUAUACAAUGUUAUGUUCAUCGUAUGUUUUCUUAUCAAGUUUUGAUAUUGUUGGUAGAUUAUUGGU
rnacentral:lncRNA from 1 species